UUUAGUUAGCAGGGCCAUAACCAGGUUUGUUAUUUAGUCAGCAGGGUCAUAACCAGGUUUGUUAUUUAGUCAGCAGGGUCAUAACCAGGUUUGUUAUUUAGUCAGCAGGGUCAUAACCAGGUUUGUUAUUUAGUCAGCAGGGUCAUAACCAGGUUUGUUAUUUAGACAGCAGGGUCAUAACCAGGUUUGUUAUUUAGUCAGCAGGGUCAUAACCAGGUUUGUUAUUUAGUCAGCAGGGCCAUAACCAGGUUUGUUAUUUAGUUAGCAGGGCCAUAAACAGUUUUUUAUAUUUAAAGUUGAAAGUAAUUUACUGCAUUUCUAUACAAUUAUUACAAAUGUAAAUGCUAUUUGGAGAACAGCUAAAAGAUAUUCCAAAAUGACC
rnacentral:lncRNA from 1 species